rnacentral:rRNA from 1 species
AUUGAACGCUGGCGGCAUGCCUUACACAUGCAAGUCGAACGGUAACAGGUCUUCGGUUGCUGACGAGUGGCGAACGGGUGAGUAAUACAUCGGAACGUGCCCGAUCGUGGGGGAUAACGAGGCGAAAGCUUUGCUAAUACCGCAUACGAUCUACGGAUGAAAGCGGGGGAUCUUCGGACCUCGCGCGGACGGAGCGGCCGAUGGCAGAUUAGGUAGUUGGUGGGAUAAAAGCUUACCAAGCCGACGAUCUGUAGCUGGUCUGAGAGGAUGAUCAGCCACACUGGGACUGCGACACGGCCCAGACUCCUACGGGAGGCAGCAGUGGGGAAUUUUGGACAAUGGGCGAAAGCCUGAUCCAGCCAUGCCGCGUGCAGGAUGAAGGCCUUCGGGUUGUAAACUGCUUUUGUACGGAACGAAAAGCCUCUUUCUAAUAAAGAGGGGUCAUGACGGUACCGUAAGAAUAAGCACCGGCUAACUACGUG